rnacentral:rRNA from 1 species
GACGAACGCUGGCGGCGUGCUUAACACAUGCAAGUCGAACGGAGAGGCCCUGCUUUUGUGGGGUGCUCGAGUGGCGAACGGGUGAGUAACACGUGAGUAACCUGCCCUGGACUUUGGGAUAACUUCAGGAAACUGUGCUAAUACCCGAUUGGUACUGCUGCUUCAUUGUUGGGCUUGGAAAGUUUCGGCGGUUGGGGCUGGACGCGCGGCUUAUCAUCUUGUUGGUGGGGGAGUGGCUUACCAAGGAUUUGACGGGUAGCCGGCCUGAGAGGGUGACCGGCCACAUUGGGACAGAGAUACGGCCCAGACUCCUACGGGAGGCAGCAGUGGGGGAUAGUGCACAAUGGGCGGAAGCCGGAUGGAGCAACGCCGCGUGCGGGAUGACGGCCUUAGGGUUGUAAACCGCUUUCGCCUGUGAAGCAGAGUGAGUGACGGUAAUGUGUAAAGAAGCACCGGCUAACUACGUG